rnacentral:lncRNA from 1 species
GUGGGACAUCAGAGGGUUAUAAAUUUCAAAUGUCCCUCCCUACAACACUCACGGCAGUGACGCCUGCUCGGUGCACCUCGAGAUCCCCCUACGCUGUGAAAUAUUCCUGGUGAGAAAACCUGCAUUGGUUCAUCGUUCUAAAUGCUGACAUGAUAUUCUAAUAAUGUCAUUUAAUUCGUGGCCCCUCCCUUUGCUAGAGUUGUGAUGGUUAGUGUGUUUGAUCUCCAGGUGGACUCCCUGCAGCACACUCGAGGUCAGCUCCUCAAAGUCUCUGAGCAGAUGUCGUCCACUCUGCGCUCCUCUCAACAACAACUUAGCGUUUAAACUGGAGCAGACUGAGGCGGAGCUGGUUCGCUCUCUGAGCCAAGCACGCGCCCCUUCAAGCUAAGCUAAGCCAGAGCCAGGAACAGUUGCAGCAGACGUUUAGCGCAAGAAUGCUAAACUGCAGGAACAGCUGCAAGCAGACAUUAGCGCAGAAUGCUAACCUGCCGGAACAGUUACAGCAGACAUUAGCACAGAAAUGCUAACCUGCAGGAACCAGUUUACAGCAGACAUUAGCGCAGAAUGCUAACUUGCAGGAAGAGCUGCAGCUUACCUUAGCACAGAAUGCUAACCUGCAGGAACAGCUGCAGCAGACCUUACCACAGAACGCUAACUUGCAGCGACAGCAGUUGUUAGCACAGAGCGCUAACCUGCAGGAACAGCUGCAGCAGCCAUUAGCACAGAAAGCUAACCUGCAGGAACAGCAACAGCAGCCGUUAGCACGUAGCGCCAAGCUGAAGGAACAACAGCAGCAGCCGUUAGCAUGCAGCGCUAACUUGCAGGAACAGCUGCAGCAGAAUGCUCACCUGCAGGAACAUCUGCAGCAGCCAUUAGCACGUAGCGCUAACCUGAAGGAACAACAGCAGCCGCUAGCAUGGAGCGCUAACCUGCAGGAACAGCAGCAGCAGCCAUUAGCAUGGAGCGCUAACCUGCAGGAACAGCUGCAGCAGGCGUUAGCGCAGAAUGCUAACCUGCACAGCUCCGCCCCGCCUCCUCCCCCAGCCUGGAGCCACCAAUGGUGUGACAGCAGUGUGGACUCCUCCCUGGACCUCCCCCCCAGCUUGAAGGCCACAAUCAGGGAGGCUUUAAAGCCGCACCCGUGGGAAUCUUCCUCCUCUUCCUCACCCUCGCUCUCGCUGUCCACUGAUCACAGCUGGCAGGGUCUCAGGGUCACAGACACCUCGCUCACCUCUGACCUCUCCUUUAAUCCACUCACGUACAUGAUGGAUAAAGAAAGUGAGCAGAAGGAGGCGGGCACUGAGUCAGGGAGUGCUCUGAUUGGUCAGGAGGAGGAGGAGGAGGAUGUGAAUAUGAGCUCUCUCACUGGGAUGCUGAGAUUUUUAUUGUCCAGCAGGGAUAGAACAGUGAUCCUUCUCUCUGACAUUCACAUGCUCUUCAUGUUCUGGGGGAAGAUUUCUUGGCAUGGGACCAAAGGGGAGGAGUCACAAUAAAGCCCACAUGAAAAAA